ACUCCUGCGCAGCUUGUCCUUGCAGCGCCCUUUCACGGCGGUAACAGGGGUUCGAUUCCCCUUGGGCGUACCA
rnacentral:tRNA from 2 species